rnacentral:misc_RNA from 1 species
AUGCUCGAGCUGCUCGCAGCGGCGAGAGCGGGCCGCCGCGUGCCGGCCGGGGACGGACCGGGAACGGCCCCCUCGGGGCCUUCCCCGGGCGUCGAACAACCGACUCAGAACUGAAUCCAAGCUAGCAACCGGCGCCUCUGCUCGCCGCCCGCCCCGACCCACGUUAGGGCGUUUCGCGCCCCAAGGGCCCGUGCCAUUGGCUCAGCCCGCCCGGCCGACGCGCCGCGGCGGGCCGCCUCGAAGCUCCCUUCCCAACGGGCGGCGUGCUGA